AGCGAACGCUGGCGGUAGGCCUAACACAUGCAAGUCGAACGACAGCACCGUAAGUGCUUGCUCUUACGGGUGUCGCGCGUCGGAAGGGUGCGUUAUACAUCGGAAUACACUUUUUCGGGGGGGCUAACGCAGGGAAACUUACGCUAAUCAAGCAUACGUCGUACGUGUGUAAGCAGGGGUUCUUCGAGCCUUGCGCGAUGGUAUGAGCCGAUGUCGGAUGAGCUAGUUGGCGGGGUAGAGGCGCACCACAGCGACGAUCCGUAGAUGGUCUGACAGGAUGAUCAGCCACACGGGAACUGAGACACGGUCGAGACUCCGACGGGAGGAAGCGGUGGGGAAUAUUGGACGAUGGGGGAGAGCCUGAUCCAGCAAUACCGCGGGAGGGAUGAAGGCGUUCUGGUUGUAGAGCCAUGUUGUUGGGAGAGAAGAAAAGCAGGUUUAUCCGCCGCGAUACUGACGGUACCCAAAGAAUAAGCACCGGCUAACUUCGUG
rnacentral:rRNA from 1 species